UACAGAGGGUGCGAGCGUUAAUCGGAAUUACUGGGCGUAAAGCGCGCGUAGGCGGCUUUGCAAGUCGGGUGUGAAAUCCCCAGGCUUAACCUGGGAACUGCAUUCGAGACUGCAUUGCUAGAGUAUGGGAGAGGGAAGUGGAAUUUCCGGUGUAGCGGUGAAAUGCGUAGAUAUCGGAAGGAACAUCAGUGGCGAAAGCGACUACCUGGCCCAUUCUUGACGCUGAGGCGCGAAAGCUAGGGGAGCGAACGGG
rnacentral:rRNA from 1 species